rnacentral:rRNA from 1 species
GGGUUGUGAGGUUAAGCGACUAAGCGUACACGGUGGAUGCCCUGGCAGUCAGAGGCGAUGAAGGACGUGCUAAUCUGCGAUAAGCGUCGGUAAGGUGAUAUGAACCGUUAUAACCGGCGAUUUCCGAAUGGGGAAACCCAGUGUGAUUCGUCACACUAUCAUUAACUGAAUCCAUAGGUUAAUGAGGCGAACCGGGGGAACUGAAACAUCUAAGUACCCCGAGGAAAAGAAAUCAACCGAGAUUCCCCCAGUAGCGGCGAGCGAACGGGGAGCAGCCCAGAGCCUGAAUCAGUGUGUGUGUUAGUGGAAGCGUCUGGAAAGGCGUGCGAUACAGGGUGACAGCCCCGUACACAAAAAUGCACAUACUGUGAGCUCGAUGAGUAGGGCGGGACACGUGGUAUCCUGUCUGAAUAUGGGGGGACCAUCCUCCAAGGCUAAAUACUCCUGACUGACCGAUAGUGAACCAGUACCGUGAGGGAAAGGCGAAAAGAACCCCGGCGAGGGGAGUGAAAAAGAACCUGAAACCGUGUACGUACAAGCAGUGGGAGCACGCUUAGGCGUGUGACUGCGUACCUUUUGUAUAAUGGGUCAGCGACUUAUAUUCUGUAGCAAGGUUAACCGAAUAGGGGAGCCGAAGGGAAACCGAGUCUUAACUGGGCGUUAAGUUGCAGGGUAUAGACCCGAAACCCGGUGAUCUAGCCAUGGGCAGGUUGAAGGUUGGGUAACACUAACUGGAGGACCGAACCGACUAAUGUUGAAAAAUUAGCGGAUGACUUGUGGCUGGGGGUGAAAGGCCAAUCAAACCGGGAGAUAGCUGGUUCUCCCCGAAAGCUAUUUAGGUAGCGCCUCGUGAAUUCAUCUCCGGGGGUAGAGCACUGUUUCGGCAAGGGGGUCAUCCCGACUUACCAACCCGAUGCAAACUGCGAAUACCGGAGAAUGUUAUUACGGGAGACACACGGCGGGUGCUAACGUCCGUCGUGAAGAGGGAAACAACCCAGACCGCCAGCUAAGGUCCCAAAGUCAUGGUUAAGUGGGAAACGAUGUGGGAAGGCCCAGACAGCCAGGAUGUUGGCUUAGAAGCAGCCAUCAUUUAAAGAAAGCGUAAUAGCUCACUGGUCGAGUCGGCCUGCGCGGAAGAUGUAACGGGGCUAAACCAUGCACCGAAGCUGCGGCAGCGACGCUUAUGCGUUGUUGGGUAGGGGAGCGUUCUGUAAGCCUGUGAAGGUGUGCUGUGAGGUAUGCUGGAGGUAUCAGAAGUGCGAAUGCUGACAUAAGUAACGAUAAAGCGGGUGAAAAGCCCGCUCGCCGGAAGACCAAGGGUUCCUGUCCAACGUUAAUCGGGGCAGGGUGAGUCGACCCCUAAGGCGAGGCCGAAAGGCGUAGUCGAUGGGAAACAGGUUAAUAUUCCUGUACUUGGUGUUACUGCGAAGGGGGGACGGAGAAGGCUAUGUUGGCCGGGCGACGGUUGUCCCGGUUUAAGCGUGUAGGCUGGUUUUCCAGGCAAAUCCGGAAAAUCAAGGCCGAGGCGUGAUGACGAGGCACUACGGUGCUGAAGCAACAAAUGCCCUGCUUCCAGGAAAAGCCUCUAAGCAUCAGGUAACAUCAAAUCGUACCCCAAACCGACACAGGUGGUCAGGUAGAGAAUACCAAGGCGCUUGAGAGAACUCGGGUGAAGGAACUAGGCAAAAUGGUGCCGUAACUUCGGGAGAAGGCACGCUGAUACGUAGGUGAAGCGACUUGCUCGUGGAGCUGAAAUCAGUCGAAGAUACCAGCUGGCUGCAACUGUUUAUUAAAAACACAGCACUGUGCAAACACGAAAGUGGACGUAUACGGUGUGACGCCUGCCCGGUGCCGGAAGGUUAAUUGAUGGGGUUAGCGCAAGCGAAGCUCUUGAUCGAAGCCCCGGUAAACGGCGGCCGUAACUAUAACGGUCCUAAGGUAGCGAAAUUCCUUGUCGGGUAAGUUCCGACCUGCACGAAUGGCGUAAUGAUGGCCAGGCUGUCUCCACCCGAGACUCAGUGAAAUUGAACUCGCUGUGAAGAUGCAGUGUACCCGCGGCAAGACGGAAAGACCCCGUGAACCUUUACUAUAGCUUGACACUGAACAUUGAGCCUUGAUGUGUAGGAUAGGUGGGAGGCUUUGAAGUGUGGACGCCAGUCUGCAUGGAGCCGACCUUGAAAUACCACCCUUUAAUGUUUGAUGUUCUAACGUGGACCCGUGAUCCGGGUUGCGGACAGUGUCUGGUGGGUAGUUUGACUGGGGCGGUCUCCUCCUAAAGAGUAACGGAGGAGCACGAAGGUUGGCUAAUCCUGGUCGGACAUCAGGAGGUUAGUGCAAUGGCAUAAGCCAGCUUGACUGCGAGCGUGACGGCGCGAGCAGGUGCGAAAGCAGGUCAUAGUGAUCCGGUGGUUCUGAAUGGAAGGGCCAUCGCUCAACGGAUAAAAGGUACUCCGGGGAUAACAGGCUGAUACCGCCCAAGAGUUCAUAUCGACGGCGGUGUUUGGCACCUCGAUGUCGGCUCAUCACAUCCUGGGGCUGAAGUAGGUCCCAAGG